rnacentral:rRNA from 1 species
UGGGGAAUUUUGCACAAUGGGGGAAACCCUGAUGCAGCGACGCCGCGUGAUUUAGAAGGCCUUCGGGUUGUAAAAAUCUUUUGUAUAGGAAGAAAAUGACAGUACUAUACGAGUAAGGACCGGCUAAUUACGUGCCAGCAGCCGCGGUAAUACGUAAGGUCCGAGCGUUGUCCGGAAUCAUUGGGCGUAAAGGGUACGUAGGCGGGUAAGCAAGUUAGAAGUGAAAUCCUGUAGCUCAACUACAGUAAGCUUUUAAAACUGCUCAUCUUGAGAUAUGGAAGGGAAAGUGGAAUUCCUAGUGUAGCGGUGAAAUGCGCAGAUAUUAGGAGGAAUACCGGUGGCGAAGGCGACUUUCUGGCCAUAAUCUGACGCUGAGGUACGAAAGCGUGGGUAGCAAACAGG